UUGCUUCUGCAGCAAAUAUACCAAAAAUAAGAUUAGAAUGGGACCUGUACAAAAAUGGUGUGCAAAUCCAUGAAGUGGUCCAUAUUUUU
ensembl:snRNA U6 U6 spliceosomal RNA